rfam:Enterococcus hirae ATCC 9790, complete genome.
AACCUUGUUUUAUAAUAUGUAUCGUAGAAAAGUGAAAAGAUGGUGGCAAUCCAUUCUAGGAGGUGAUGCUUAUGAAUGUAAGUAUCAAAUUUAAGGAAAGGAGAGCCUGAAUUGUCAGUGUUUGAGGCGCUACAGCUAAUGAUUGCUUUUGCGAUGUUAGUUUUAGCUAAUCAAAGAUGACAA